AAAAAAACAACAGCAGCAAGCUCAUCAAAAACCACCACAAAAACUAAUACUGUUAAGGUGAAGACUGAGAAGAAAGUUUAUACUUUGCCUGGCCAAAGAUAUGAUCCUCCUGAAGAGGUUUGAGACCUCUCCUUUAAAAAUUUCUUUCUUUAGGGUACAUAAUACAUUAAUUGUGAUUAAAUUUGUAACUUCUUUUGUAUUUCUGUGGAGAUUAGAUUUGAAACUAUUGUGUUAUUUUCUUGCAGCGGGAACCAUUGAGGAUAUUCUACGAAUCGCUUUUGAAACAGAUUCCUUCAAGCGAAAUGGCUGAAGUUUGGUGAGUAGUUUUCAGUUUUUCCAUUACUGUUCAUAAAUAUAUACAUCAGUUUUAUUAGAUUUUGUUCUGUGUAUUUGUUUUAUUUGUUACUUUUUUUAUGUUUGAAUUUCUCUAUCAUAUGAGGCUCUUAAAGAUUUCCUUGAUUGGAGAUUUCUCCUCAGUGGAGUCACCCAAAUGUGUAUGGUUGAUCUCUAAUAUUAGUAUCUGUUCAGAUUCACUACUCAAGGGGCUCGGUGUAUAAACUCUGCCCUUUUCAUUUUCUAUUUUUUGUAUAUUUAGUGCUGAUGUUAUACCUACAAAUCUUUGCAAGUGAACUGCAAGUUUUCGGGUGAGCCGGAACCAAUGCUUUGUAGUCUAUAAUUCAUACAAUUAGGGAUUAACUAAUAACAAAUAUUUUAAUUUUAAAUUUAUUUUUAGUGUGGGUAAGUCCAUUUUGUUUGGUAAAAUACCUUUAACUUUCAAUUGAGAAGAAUUAACUCAAAAAUUGAGGAUUAAGCGAGUAAAUAUUUAAUUAUGCCCAUCAUAAUGUGACUCAAGUUAUUGGAAUUCAGAUGCAUCCUGAUUUCAAAGGAGAAGCUAUAGCUCAUGCAGCUAAUGGGUGAGUUAGGGCAUGCAGUUUAUAUGGGUGAGUGAAACCACUUUAGAAAAAAAGGCCAAGUGGCCAUCUUUAUUACAUUUUGUAAUAGAAAUGUUAACCAAACUUUGACAACAAAUCAUGGUAGAACUGCUAGCAUAUGAUGGGCCCCUAAAUGACCGCUUAGUGAUAAAGGAGGUAGGGGUGCAGAGACGGCCAAGAGGUUUGCUUAGAAGCUGCCACGCUUGAAAGAGUACGUAAUAGCUCAUUGAUCGAGCGCUCUUGCACUGAAGAUGAACGAGGCUAAGCAAUCUGCCGAAGUUGUGGGAUGUAAAAAUGCAUCGGUAGAGGAGCGUUCCGGAUGUAAAAAUGCAUCGGUAGAGGAGCGUUCCGCCUUAGAGCGAAAGUGAGAAUGUCGGCUUGAGUAACGUAAACAUUGGUGAGAAUCCAAUGCCCUGAAAACCUAAAGUUUCUUCCAAAAGGUUCGUCCACGGUGGAUGAAUCAGGGCCUAAGAUCAGGCCGAAAGGCGUUUAUGGACAACAAUUGAAUAUUCUUGUACUACCCCUUGUUGGUCCCGAGGGACGGAGGAGGCUAGGUUAGCUGAAAGGUAGUUCGGUUUAAGGAUGCGAGGUGACCUUGCUUUUUUUACAGGGUAAGUAGAGGAAAUGCCUCGAGCCAAUGUCUGAGUACCAUGCGCUACGGUGCUUAAGUAACCCAUGCCAUACUCCUAAGAAAAGCUUGAACGACCUUCAACAAAAGGGUACCUGUACCCGAAAUCAACACAUGUGGGUAGGUAUUGAAUACCUAGGGGCACGAGGCAACUCUCUUUAAGGAACUCAGCAAAAUAGCUCCGUAACUUUGGGAGAAGGGGUGCCUCCUCACAAAGAUGGGUCGCAAUGACCAGGCCUGAGCGACUGUUUACCAAAAACACAUGUCUCCGCAAAGUUGUAGGACCAUGUAUGGGGGCUGACGCUUGCUCAGUGUCGGAAGGUCAAGGAAGUUGGUGACCUAAUGACAGGGGAGACGGCGACUGAAGCCCUGGUGAACAGCGACCAUAACUAUAACGGUCCUAACGUAGUGAAAUUCCUUGUCGAGUAAGUUCCGACCUGAACAAAAGGCGUAAUGAUUUGGGCACUGUCUCGGAGAGAGGCUCAGUGAAAUAAAUAUGUCUGAGAAGAUGUAGGCUACCUGCACCUAGACAGAAAGACCCUAUGAAGCUUUACUGUUCCCUGGGAUUGGCUUUGGACCUUUCCUGCGUAGCUUAGGUGGAGGGCGAAGAAGGCUUCCUUCUCUGGGGGGCUUGAGCCAUCAGUGAGAUACCACUCUGGAAGAGCUAGAAUUCUAACCUUGUAUUAGGAAUUACGGGCCAAGGGACAGUCUCAUGUAGACAGUUUUUAUGGGGCAUAGGCCUUCUAAAAGGUAACGAAAGAGUGCAAAGAUUUCCUCGGGCUGGACGGAGAUUGGCCCUCGAGUGCAAAGGUAGAAGGGAGCUUGACUGCAAGACCCACCUAUCGAACAGGGACGAAAGUCAGCCUUAGUGAUCUGACGGUGCCGAGUAAAAGGGCUGUCGCUCAACAAAUAAAAGUUACUCUGGGGAUAACAGACUGAUCUUCCACAAGAGUUCACAUCGACGGGAAGGUUUGGCACCUCAAUGUCGGUCUUCGCCACUUGGGGCGGUAGUACCUUCCAAGGGUUGGGCUGUUUGCCCAUUAAAACGGUAUGUGAGCUGGGUUUAGAAUGUCGUAAGACAGUUCGGUCCAUAUCUGGUGUGGGUGUUAGAACAUUGAGAGGACCUUUCCCUAGUUCGAGAGGACUGGGAAGGAUGCACCUCUAGUGUAUCAGAUAUCGUGCCCAUGGUAAACGCUGGGUAGCCAAGUGUGGAAAUAUCAUACAUUAUCGUUCUUUUCCAGCAUUAGCAAUAGGAAUGUCAUACAUUAUCAUUCUUUUCCAACGUUAGCAAUAGCAAUAUCAUACAUUAUCGUUCUUAGAAAUGUAUUGGUUUCUAGCAGCUAGUUGAAUUGAUAGGCUUUUAAAUAAAUGAACCUAUUCUUGGUUGACAGUGUAGGUAUCUUGUGUUCAUGCAUUAUAAUAAGAUUCGCAAAUGCAAUAUGCAUGAUGUAGGGUAGAAUUG
rnacentral:rRNA from 1 species